rnacentral:rRNA from 1 species
GACGAACGCUGGCGGCGUGCUUAACACAUGCAAGUCGAGCGGUAAGGCCCCUCCGGGGGCACACGAGCGGCGAACGGGUGAGUAACACGUGAGCAACCUGCCCCUGACUCCGGGAUAAGCGGUGGAAACGCCGUCUAAUACCGGAUACGACCCUCCGGCUCAUGCCGUGGGGGUGGAACGUUUUUUCGGUUGGGGAUGGGCUCGCGGCCUAUCAGCUUGUUGGUGGGGUAAAGGCCUACCGAGGCGAUUACGGGUAGCCGGCCUGAGAGGGCGACCGGCCACACUGGGACUGAGACACGGCCCAGACUCCUGCGGGAGGCAGCAGUGGGGUAUCUUGCGCAAUGGGCGAAAGCCUGACGCAGCGACGCCGCGUGGGGGAUGACGGCCUUCGGGUUGUAAACUCCUUUUACCACUCACGCAGGCCCGGAGUGUUCUUCGGGUUGACGGUAGGUGGGGAAUAAGGACCGGCUAACUACGUGCCAGCCGCCGCAGUAA